CCUCCUUCCUUGGUACGCACGCUGUCUUCUGUACUCUGUGUUAUGGAGGGACAUAAAGUCCAGUGCUUUGUCUGCAGUGCCAGAACGUUUCCAUUUUCUGGUUCUAUCCUCAGUUGCUGAUAUCUAC
rnacentral:snoRNA from 2 species